GACGAACGCUGGCGGCGUGCUUAACACAUGCCAGUCGAACGGAAAGGCCCCUUUGGGGGUACUCGAGUGGCGAACGGGUGAGUAACACGUGAGUAACCUGCCCUUGACUUCGGGAUAACUUCAGGAAACUGGGGCUAAUACCGGAUAGGAAUCCUUGCUGCAUGGUGGGGGUUGGAAAGCUUCGGCGGUUUUGGAUGGACUCGCGGCUUAUCAGCUUGUUGGUGGGGUAGUGGCUUACCAAGGCUUUGACGGGUAGCCGGCCUGAGAGGGCGACCGGCCACAUUGGGACUGAGAUACGGCCCAGACUCCUACGGGAGGCAGCAGUGGGGAAUAUUGCACAAGGGGCGGAAGCCUGAUGCAGCAACGCCGCGGGCGGGAGGACGGCCUUCGGGUUGUAAACCGCUUUCAGCAGGGGCGAAGCUUGUGGUGACGGUACCUGCAGAAGAAGCACCGGCUAACUACGUG
rnacentral:rRNA from 1 species